GUGAAGAUUCAAGGGCCAGCCAUACAGACGUACAAUAAGUGUGUCUCUGGCGGCUCGCAUCCACUAUACAUCCAUAAACCCGUGUGCACUGUUCUAAGGAGUAAGCAAGAAGAAGAAGGGGGAGGGAGAGAGAGUGCAUGUGCUUUGCAUAUAACUCUCUCACUCUCAAC
rnacentral:misc_RNA from 1 species